CAGCAAAUGUGGCUGCCUUCCGGGGUCUGCUGGGACCAGGUGGCUUCAACAGUCUCUACCAAAUGUCCUUCCAGCAGUGGAACUGCUAUUCCCCGUGUAGCCUGAGAACCUCCCGGUUCCCACUCGGUUCCUGAGGAUUCACCUUUCCGACCAGAGCACUGCCAGUCUACCACAGGUCUUUGAGAUGGGUUAGUGUUUUCAAAACGGGAAGGCCCAGAGACCACGGAUGCUUGAGAACUUGCCUGAGGACACCCACCUGGAGUGGAAGAAGAAGAGAUUCUGGAAGCCACACUCCCAUGGGCUGAGACCUUCUCACUGAAAAAUGUGAAUGAAGUUUGGAGAGGAAACUUGUCACUUGCCCAUGGUCACUGAAGGAACUGCCGUGUGGGCUGGGGGGAUGGGAGCCCAUCUGAUGCCCAGUCUCCACCACCAGAGGCAGGACAGUGAGAUACCCACAGCACUACCCAUUCAACUUGGCACAGAGUUCGGGACCCUGUUGUCUGGUUUGAAUCCCAAGCUGUACCACCUACUAAUGGUGUGAAUUUAGACAAGUUAACGAAUCAUUCUGUGCCUCAGUCUCUUGAUCUGUAAACUGAGAAUAACAGUACCUGUAGUAAGGGAUGUUGCAUUGAUUACGUGUAAAACCCACAGAACAGUGCCCAAUAUCUGUAGCAAUCGCUAAAUGAAAGGUACCGUCACUCUCCGACAAUCCUGCCUCCUGAAUACCAACACGGCAACACAGCAGCCAAUAGCUUAAAUCCGUGUUCUUCAACUGACGGCGAGUUUGUUCCCCUGGGGACACUUGGCAAUUGCAAAGACGUGUUUGGUGGUCACAACUCGGGGCCAGAGAUAUUAUUAAAUACCCUCCAGUGAACAAGACGGCUCCUCCCACAACAAAGAAGUGUGUAGCCCAAGUGUCAGUAGGUCCGAGGUUAAGAAACUCUGCCCUGAACCGAACACAAAUGAGGUAAAGAGUAUUUUGCCAGAUAUGAGGAGGCACUAAGUUGAAAUCAGAAGCCCCCAUCCUAGUGGAGGAAGGCCAGACAAUACACAAAUAAAUAAACAAGAAACUACUGGAUGACAGUAAAUGCUGUGAGAAAAAUAAAGCAGGAACAGAGCAUGAUCGGGUCGGGCUGCUUCAGACUGGACGAGCAGAAAGUCUUCCUAGAAGAGGUGACAUUUAAACUGGAACCUUCUGUCAUUGAAGAUCUGAGCAAAGAGCACGGAGCUGGCAAAGGGACAGGUUUUGCAGAGAUACCACAGUAGGGACAACCUGGAUGUGCCUCAGGAGCAGAAUAGGAAGCUAGUGCUGAGGAAGGAGGUAGAAAGGCAAGUGAAAUUCCAAUCAGGCCACACAGAAUGGCUUCUUUUGGACAAUGCUGCCUCGUGGUGUACUCCCUAGGAAAAAAUGUUGCCUCAAAGCACCUGAUGGUAACUAAAAUACAUGAUUUGGUAUGUGGCAUAAAUUUUAAGUUGGUCUUUUUCCUCCUUUAGGGAGCAAUAAGAGGGAGCCUCUUUCCUAGCAGUAAAUUAGUUAACAAUAAAUUAGCCAAUUAUUGGAAUUGCUGUUUCUGUUUGA